GAUUUCAGUACAAGAUGGAUGAGGGAUCCAACAGACUUAUCAACAUUGGCUACCACUUCAAUCCUGCCAGUUGAUCUUAAUGUAUUCAUACUCAAGAUGGAACUGGACAUUUCCAAUUUGGCAAGAGCUGUUGGAGAUUACUGCACGGCAGAACAAUUCUUUGAGGCUUCUCUAGUCAGAAAGAAGACAAUCAACUCUAUUUUCUGGAAUUCAGAGAAGGGACAAUGGCUUGAUUACUGGCUUGAUAAUGGCUCAUACAAGGGUGCUCAUACAUGGGAUGCUCGAAACCAGAACCAAAACGUAUAUGCUUCGAACUUCAUUCCGUUGUGGAUCGAAUCAUUCUACUCCGAUAAGAAACAAAUGAAGAAAGUCUUGAAAAGUUUACGAAACUCAGGAUUAUUGUGCAAUGCCGGGAUUGCAACUUCAAUGAUUAAUUCAGGAGAACAAUGGGAUUUCCCAAAUGGUUGGGCGCCAAUCCAACACAUGAUCGUCGAGGGACUGGCAAGGUCUGGAUUGAAGGAAGCAAGGGCAUUGGCCGAGGACAUUGCUGCGAGAUGGCUUCGAACCAACUAUGUAGCUUACAAGCACACAGGAUAUAUGCAUGAGAAAUAUGAUGUCCAAAAGUGUGGAGACUUUGGUGGUGGAGGUGAAUAUGUCCCUCAGACUGGUUUUGGAUGGUCAAAUGGAGUUGUUUUGGCAUUCCUCGAAGAGUUUGGAUGGCCGGAAGAUCAAAAGAUAGACUGCUACUUAACUUAUUAAACACAACAACAAGAUUACCAUUCUUCUCUUAGAAUUAUAGGUUAAUGUUUUUAGGUUCUUCACUCUUAGUACAUCUUAAAAGGGAUGGCUGUAAAUUCUUCAAAUCCUAUUUUAUGUUUCUUAAAAUUUGUUUUAAACCACUUUAUGGUUUGCAGAUAUCAUUAUAUCAUUAUGUUCAAGUUGACUGUUAUUU
rnacentral:misc_RNA from 1 species